rnacentral:rRNA from 1 species
GGGGGGGGGGGGGGGGGUGGCGGGUGCGGGGGAGUCGGGCGAGCGGGCGGGAAGGUUGCUUCUCUGAUGUUGGCGGCGGGCGGGGGCGUGGCACGUGGGUAACCGACCUAUAAGACUGGGAUAACUUCGGGAACCCGGAGCUAAUACCGGAUAAUAUUUUGAACCGCCUGGUUCCAAAGUGCAAGCCGGUCUUGCUGUCGCUUAUAGAUCGAUCCGCGCUGCCUUAGCUCGUUGGUAAGGUAACGGCUUACCCAGGCAACGAUGCAUAGCCGACCUGAGAGGGUGAGCGUCCACACUGGAACUGAGACACGGUCCAGACCCCUACGGGAGGCAGCAGUAGGGAAUCUUCCGCAAUGGGCGAAAGCCUGACGGAGCAACGCCGCGGGAGUGAUGAAGGUCUUCGGAUCGUAAAACUCUGUUAUUAGGGAAGAACAUAUGUGUAAGUAACUGUGCACAUCUUGACGGUACCUAAUCAGAAAGCCACGGCUAACUACGUG